CCUCCUGCAAGACAUGCAUCAGCUUGGCUUUAUUGGUUUUUGCCAGGGAGCCGUCAGUGUUUGCGAGAGCCUGUGGAAAAGGACCCAAACACUCUGAAUUCAGAUGUGCCACUGGUCCCUGCCCUGCCAUGUUUUUGCACUCCACAGUGAUUGCUGCCCUUUCAUGCUGGGUCAAGGUCCAUCGGUGAACUGCACCCUUAUUCAAUUGUUCAUCUCGGCCCAAUAUGCUGUCA